GCAUCGGUGGUUCAAUGGUAGAAUGCUCGCCUGCCACGCGGGCGGCCCAGGUUCGAUUCCCGGCCGAUGCA
rnacentral:tRNA from 1 species